GCUAGAAUAGCUCAGUUGGUUAAAAUGUGUGGCUUGUAACCCCAACAAGGUUAGAGGUUCAAGCCCUCUUUUUAGCG
rfam:Ipomoea nil DNA, scaffold: scaffold1660, cultivar: Tokyo-kokei standard.